ensembl:lincRNA 4933427I22Rik RIKEN cDNA 4933427I22 gene
CAUUUACCGAAAGCAGUCCCCUAUGGUUCAACUUCUCGUUCAUUCUCACCCGGCCUGAAUUCGGCAUCUAUAAAAUGGGGGUGAUCCUGUCUCACAGGGUCAUUGGAAGGAGAGUUUUCUACUGGGUCUCCGGAACAAGCCUCGCUCAACCAAAACAGGCUGCCUUUCACAAUCCCACGCAGCCGGGCAUGGAACAGACAGCCACUGUGUUCCUGAAAUGAGACCAGCAUCUGCCUUUGAUCUGGGCUCUACACACAGCAUGGACAAUGUGUGAGGAUGGACGGACGUGGCCAGGGGCCACCUGUCUCUGCAUCUUGGGCCAUUCAGAGCUCCGGGCCAGGUCAUUGUGAAGAGCUCCACUUCUCUGUAGGCCAUUAUGGUGAAAAGGAGUUUAGCAGACAAGGGCUCAGGACACGCCCUUUCUGUGCCCAGGCAGAGUGUGAUGUCAUCAGCAAAACCAGCAUGUAUGUUGGGGUCAGAGGACAGGGUGUCAACUCUCUCCUCUUCACCUUGUUUGAGACCGUCUCUCUGCCGGUGUGUGUGCUAGGCUACUGAGGAUUGCCCUGUGUCUGAUUCCGGUUCCCCAGUAGGGAUUACAUAUGUCUGCACGGUUGCAUCUACCGUGGGCUUUGGGGGUCUGAACUCCAGCUGUCAGGCUUACAUGUCAAUCACUUUGUCUCCUGAACCAUCUCCCCAGCCCCAUACUCCUCACCCUUGCUUUGAUGGUCAUCAAGCCCUUGGUAGUGGUCACGUGACUCUAAGUCCUAGUCUCUUUGCAGUAGGGUUCUCCCUUCCGUUGAAUGCACUGCGUGGAUUUUCCCUGUUUUCCCGCGGUUGGACUCCAGGGCCUUGUGCAUAAGAGGCAAGCACUCCAACUCUGAGACACUGCCCUCGAUGGCUGGCUCUGAAUCAGAUCGAUAACCAAAUACAGGCAUCCCCAUCUCUAAAAACCUUCUGAGAUUGCAUCGGAGAGAAUGGAAGGCGCCUCCGCCUCCGUAGUUUAAACAGAAGGAGUUUUGCCUAGCAAAGGAGCAUUAGCAGCCCUCAAACCUUCGAGACGGGAGAAGCAGGCUGUGAGCUGAGCCUUAGGGAAAACCUCCAGUCCCCAGAAUCCUUCUGGGUCCCCUCCACCGUUACCAAGGAAACCAACAAAUUGGGAAGCUCCUUAAGCAUACCAAGCCAGUAAAAAGAGAAGCGCGCACCCCAUUUCUCUUCCUAUUUAAACUCUUUCCAAGCCCAGUCCUGUUCGCGUGACUCUGGUUGGGGAAGACUGAAUCGCAUCUGAAAGUCUUCCUUGCAAGAGGGUUAUAGGGAAAUUGGUUUUCUUUUCCUGGCUUCUUGGUAUAAAAAGGCACGCGUGAAGGAGGUUGGAAUAAAUGUUG